rnacentral:rRNA from 1 species
AACGAACGCUGGCGGCAUGCCUAACACAUGCAAGUCGAACGAACCCUCCGGGACUAGUGUCCCCUGGUUUCGUCACCCGUCGGAACCUUCACUUAGGUUCGACAUACCUCUCCGACUGGGAUGCUAAUACCGAACCAUAUCUACGGCCGAAAGAUUUUUUGACUUGGAUUGUUCCGGCGUGGGAUUAGCUCGUUCGUAGGGUAAAAGACUACUAAGGGGACCAUCAAUAGCUGGUCUGAGAGGAUGAUCAGCGACACUGGGACUGGGACACGGCCGAGACUCCUACGGGAGGGGGCAGUGGGGAAUAUUGGACAGUGGGCGAAAGCAUGAUCCAGCAAGGACGCGUGAGUGAUGAAGGCCUUAGGGUUGUAAAGCUCAUGUACCCGGGAUGAUAAUGACGGUACCGGGAGAAUAAGCCCCGGCUAACUCCGUG